rnacentral:rRNA from 1 species
GCAGUCGACGAGACCUUCGGGUCUAGUGGCGCACGGGUGCGUAACGCGUGGGAAUCUGCCCUUGGGUUCGGAAUAACAGUUAGAAAUGACUGCUAAUACCGGAUGAUGACUUCGGUCCAAAGAUUUAUCGCCCAGGGAUGAGCCCGCGUCGGAUUAGCUUGUUGGUGAGGUAAAAGCUCACCAAGGCGACGAUCCGUAGCUGGUCUGAGAGGAUGAUCAGCCACACUGGGACUGAGACACGGCCCAGACUCCUACGGGAGGCAGCAGUGGGGAAUAUUGGACAAUGGGCGAAAGCCUGAUCCAGCAAUGCCGCGUGAGUGAUGAAGGCCUUAGGGUUGUAAAGCUCUUUUACCCGGGAUGAUAAUGACAGUACCGGGAGAAUAAGCCCCGGCUAACUCCGUGCCAGCAGCCGCGGUAAUACGGAGGGGGCUAGCGUUGUUCGGAAUUACUGGGCGUAAAGCGCACGUAGGCGGCUUUGUAAGUUAGAGGUGAAAGCCCGGAGCUCAACUCCGGAAUUGCCUUUAAGACUGCAUCGCUUGAAUCAUGGAGAGGUGAGUGGAAUUCCGAGUGUAGAGGUGAAAUUCGUAGAUAUUCGGAAGAACACCAGUGGCGAAGGCGACUCACUGGACAUGUAUUGACGCUGAGGUGCA